rnacentral:tRNA from 1 species
GCCCUCGUAAGCUAACGGAUAAACUGCCUCUAUAUCUAAUGAGGACUUGCGGGUUCGAAUCCUGCCGAGGGUG